GGCCUAUUAGGUCUCGUAAUUGGAAUGAGAACAAUUUAAAUACCUUAACGAGGAACAAUUAGAGGGCAAGUCUGGUGCCAGCAGCCGCGGUAAUUCCAGCUCUGAUAGUAUAUAUUAAAGUUGUUGCAGUUAAAAAGCUCGUAGUUGAAACUUGGGUGCGUAGGGGCGGUCUCUUUUAGAGUACUACCCUGAAACAUCUUUCUUUGGUGUAAACUUUCUAUUUAUUUAGGAAGUGUAAGCCAAACAUUUACUUUGAAAAAAUUAGAGUGUUCAAAGCAGGCCUUUGCUCGAAUAUAUUAGCAUGGAAUAAUAGAAUAGGACGUAUGGUUCUAUUUUGUUGGUUUCUAGGACCGUCGUAAUGAUUAAUAGGGACGGUCGGGGGCAUCAGUAUUCAGUUGUCAGAGGUGAAAUUCUUGGAUUUACUGAAGACUAACUACUGCGAAAGCAUUUGCCAAGGACGUUUUCAUUAAUCAAGAACGAAAGUUAGGGGAUCGAAGACGAUCAGAUACCGUCGUAGUCUUAACCGUAAACUAUGCCGACUAGGGAUCGGAGGGCGUUAUAAUAACCUCUCCGGCACCUUACGAGAAAUCAAAGUUUUUGGGUUCUGGGGGGAGUAUGGUUGCAAGGCUGAAACUUAAAGGAAUUGACGGAAGGGCACCACCAGGAGUGGAGCCUGCGGCUUAAUUUGACCCAACACGGGGAAACUCACCAGGUCCAGACACAAUAAGGAUUGACAGAUUGAGAGCUCUUUCAUGAUUUUGUGGGUGGUGGUGCAUGGCCGUUCUUAGUUGGUGGAGUGAUUUGUCUGCUUAAUUGCGAUAACGAACGAGACCUUAACCUGCUAAAUAGCUGUAACAAUAGAUUAUUGUUUUGACAGCUUCUUAGAGGGACUAUCGAUUUUCAAGUCGAUGGAAGUUUGAGGCAAUAACAGGUCUGUGAUGCCCUUAGACGUUCUGGGCCGCACGCGCGCUACACUGACGGAGCCAGCGAGUCUAACCUGUGCCGAGAGGUAUGGGUAAUCUUGUGAAACUCCGUCGUGCUGGGGAUAGAGCAUAGCAAUUAUUGCUCUUCAACGAGGAAUUCCUAGUAAGCGCAAGUCAUCAGCUUGCGCUGAUUACGUCCCUGCCCUUUGUACACACCGCCCGUCGCUACUACCGAUUGAAUGGCUUAGUGAGGCUUCCGGAUUGAUUAACUGGAGAGGGCAACUUUUCUGGUUGAACGAGAAGCUAGUCAAACUUGGUCAUUUAGA
rnacentral:rRNA from 1 species